UAUAAAUAAUGUUAUUCCAGGCCAGAGCGAACGCAAAGUUGGUAAUAAUUCACAAUUAUAAGUUUCCAGAGUUAUCAAAAAUAACACGUAAGCAGUAGCGACUUCCGGCUAGAUGGCGCUUAUUUUUGUUACGAGCUUGUAAUUGCUCCGAAACACGAUAGCCUACAUAUUAUAUUAAUGCUGAAUUGUUAUUAUGUUAAUUAAUAUAUAGUUUAAUAAUUGC